UCAGUGUGUCAGACACAAGGCCA
rnacentral:piRNA from 1 species